AAAUUGUUUAAUCCUUGCUGUGGAGGGAACAGCCUUCAUUGGCCAGCCCAGCAUCCGGGCGCUUAACUCUACCACACAGGGUGUCCUAGGACAGCUUAUCUGAACACAGACUACCCGGGAGAACUGUGCCCCUGAGGUGCUCCCCGGAAACCCAAGGGCAUUUGCAGUGGCUGUGCCAGGAGCUUGGAAGUGUAUGAGCUGAAUUGUCCACACAGCUGCAAAUGAGGUCCAUCGAGUGA
rnacentral:lncRNA from 1 species